GAUAAUGGACAAAACCUCUGAACGGGUAAAUGCUACUUGGAGGCCUAUGAGACGGAGGGAGUGAGGGUGUCCGUCAUCAAGAGGACCAUUUGAUGAAUCCGUGCAGUCUACAGCUGCUUUGCACACAAAUAGACACGUGCACACGCAAAGCAGAACUGGCCACGCUUCUGCACAAAUGAGCACAAGGAGCUGAGGCCUAAUGGAAGUUCAAAGCCAGGAGCGGGCAAGGUGGGCUGGUGCUCCGGAAACCAGAACUGAACCGACACACAGAAAAAAAUGAAAGGCUGGAUGGGGACCUCCCAGGUAAAUUUCAUCUGGAUUUGAGGUUGAUAGCAAAUCACAAUUUGAAAAAAAAGAUUAUUGAAGAAUCUGUACUUCAAUGGUUAAAAUCUGAACCUACGCCUAGACAGUUAUUCGUUAAACUUCAAGAAGAGGUCAUCCAUCCCUCAGGCCAUCACU
rnacentral:lncRNA from 1 species